rnacentral:rRNA from 1 species
CCUACGGGAGGCAGCAGUGGGGAAUCUUGCGCAAUGGGCGAAAGCCUGACGCAGCAACGCCGCGUGCGGGAUGAAGGCCUUCGGGUUGUAAACCGCUUUCAGCAGGGAAGAAAUUGACGGUACCUGCAGAAGAAGCCCCGGCCAACUACGUGCCAGCAGCCGCGGUAACACGUAGGGGGCGAGCGUUGUCCGGAUUUAUUGGGCGUAAAGAGCUCGUAGGCGGUUCGGUAAGUCGGGUGUGAAACCUCCAGGCUCAACCUGGAGACGCCACCUGAUACUGUUGUGACUAGAGUCCGGUAGGGGAGUGUGGAACUCCUGGUGUAGCGGUGAAAUGCGCAGAUAUCAGGAAGAACACCAGCGGCGAAGGCGGCACUCUGGGCCGGUACUGACGCUGAGGAGCGAAAGCGUGGGUAGCAAACAGGAUUAGAUACCCUGGUAGUCCGACGACGUAACGUAGGUCGACUAGUGUGGUCGUCACCAACGAGAUCGUCGCGCAGACUACGCAUAAGUGCCCGCCGUCGGGAGGUACGGCCGCGACGGACGUAAACCGUAACGAAACGGAAGUAGACGGCGUGAGACGUUGCCGAACGGACGACGACGAGGGAGGAGG